GCGACCCCAGGUCAGGCGGGNCUACCCGCUGAAUUUAAGCAUAUAAAUAAG
rnacentral:rRNA from 1 species